GACGAACGCUGGCGGCGUGCCUAAUACAUGCAAGUAGAACGCUGAAGAGAGGAGCUUGCUCUUCUUGGAUGAGUUGCGAACGGGUGAGUAACGCGUAGGUAACCUGCCUUGUAGCGGGGGAUAACUAUUGGAAACGAUAGCUAAUACCGCAUAACAAUGGAUGACCCAUGUCAUUUAUUUGAAAGGGGCAAAUGCUCCACUACAAGAUGGACCUGCGUUGUAUUAGCUAGUAGGUGAGGUAACGGCUCACCUAGGCGACGAUACAUAGCCGACCUGAGAGGGUGAUCGGCCACACUGGGACUGAGACACGGCCCAGACUCCUACGGGAGGCAGCAGUAGGGAAUCUUCGGCAAUGGGGGCAACCCUGACCGAGCAACGCCGCGUGAGUGAAGAAGGUUUUCGGAUCGUAAAGCUCUGUUGUAAGUCAAGAACGAGUGUGAGAGUGGAAAGUUCACACUGUGACGGUAGCUUACCAGAAAGGGACGGCUAACUACGUGC
rnacentral:rRNA from 2 species